rnacentral:lncRNA from 1 species
ACGAAGAUCACUAAGGACUUUUCGGUUGAAGCUUGGUUAGGUUAACAAACAAGGGUCAUUUCUAAGGCCAUUGAAAACGAAAUUGCCGAUGCAAAAGAGGCAUUCACUGUACAUUAUUCACAAAUCUCAACUUCGUUCCAUUUAUUUCUCAUUUGAAACCUUCACAACUCUUAUUUCACAACUCAAUUUUUGUUUUUCCCUAUUUUUCUUCCAAGCAAGCAUUCAUUUUUAUUUU